rnacentral:rRNA from 1 species
UGGGGAAUAUUGCACAAUGGGCGCAAGCCUGAUGCAGCCAUGCCGCGUGUAUGAAGAAGGCCUUCGGGUUGUAAAGUACUUUCAGCGAGGAGGAAGGUGUUGUGGUUAAUAACCGCAGCAAUUGACGUUACUCGCAGAAGAAGCACCGGCUAACUCCGUGCCAGCAGCCGCGGUAAUAGCGGAGGUGCAAGCGUUAAUCGGAAUUACUGGGCGUAAAGCGCACGCAGGCGGUCUGUCAAGUCGGAUGUGAAAUCCCCGGGCUCAACCUGGGAACUGCAUCCGAAACUGGCAGACUAGAGUCUUGUAGAGGGGGUGAGAAUUCCAGGUGUAGCGGUUGAAAUUGCGUAGAGAUCUGGAGGAAUACCGGUGGCGAAGGCGGCCCCCUGCACAAAGACUGACGCUCAGGUGCGAAAGCGUGGGAGCAAAACA